CCUACGGGGGGCAGCAGUGAGGAAUAUUGGUCAAUGGGCAUAAGCCUGAACCAGCCAAGUCGCGUGAGGGAUGAAGGUUCUAUGGAUCGUAAACCUCUUUUAUAAGGGAAUAAAGUGUGGGACGUGUCCUAUUUUGUAUGUACCUUAUGAAUAAGGAUCGGCAAAUACCGUGCCGGCAGCCGCGGUAAUACGGAGGAUCCGAGCGUUAUCCGGAUUUAUUGGGUUUAAGGGGUUGGUAGGUGGCCUUUUAAGUCAGCGGUGAAAGUCUGUGCUCAACCAUAGAAUUGCCGUUGAAACUGGGGGGCUUGAGUGUGUAUGAGGCAGGCGGAAUGCGUGGUGUAGCGGUGAAAUGCUUAGAUAUCACGCAGAACCCCAAUUGCGAAGGCAGCCUGCCAAGCCAUGACUGACGCUGAUGCACGAAAGCGUGGGGAUCAAACAGGAUUAGAUACCCUUGUAGUC
rnacentral:rRNA from 1 species